GCCAUAACAAAGGAGCCCCAGGGCAAGGGGCAAGGAGCGGUCCCAAAGGUGGAAUCCAGGGUGAGAGGACCAGGAGAGCGAACAUACACCAGGGAAACAGCAACCAGGAGGAGAUAACUACCGGACAUUCACAAGAAUACCAAGUGUAAAGAGGACAACAACUUAUACAUCAUGAGAACAGAUUGCUGAUUGGUUGAUCUUACAAGAAUAUCCUGGGAUCGCCGAAGGAGGAAUCGGUUACCACUGCACAACUGAAAAAGGACAACGUCAGUUCUCCAGAGGUUUUACAGGACAAACAUAAUUUCAAGACAAUAACAAUGUGACUCCACUGCCCAUUUGUAAAAUAUUUCAGUUUUAAUGCUAUAUACUUUUUGAAAUCAGAAUUAGAACUACACACUUGCUAUGUGGUUAGAAAGGCUGUUUUACAUACUGGAGGGUCAAGCAACGUUCUUCCCCACUUGUAAGCUGAACCCAUUUCUAGACAGCAUGGAAACUGGCUAGGUCAAAUGAUUGACAAAACAGAUCA